AGAGACCGGCGCACGGGUGCGUAACGCGUAUGCAAUCUACCCUUUACAGAGGGAUAGCCCAGAGAAAUUUGGAUUAAUACCUCAUAGUAUAUAGCCCUGGCAUCAGGAUUAUAUUAAAGUCACAACGGUAAAAGAUGAGCAUGCGUCCCAUUAGCUAGUUGGUAAGGUAACGGCUUACCAAGGCUACGAUGGGUAGGGGUCCUGAGAGGGAGAUCCCCCACACUCGUACUGAGACACGGACCAGACUCCUACGGGAGGCAGCAGUGAGGAAUAUUGGACAAUGGGCUCAAGCCUGAUCCAGCCAUGCCGCGUGCAGGAUGACGGUCCUAUGGAUUGUAAACUGCUUUUAUACGAGAAGAAACACUCCUUCGUGAAGGAGCUUGACGGUAUCGUAAGAAUAAGGAUCGGCUAACUCCGUGCCAGCAGCCGCGGUAAUACGGAGGAUCCAAGCGCUAUCCGGAAUCAUUGGGUUUAAAGGGUCCGUAGGCGGUUUAAUAAGUCAGUGGUGAAAGCCCAUCGCUCAACGGUGGAACGGCCAUUGAUACUGUUAGACUUGAAUUAUUAGGAAGUAACUAGAAUAUGUA
rnacentral:rRNA from 1 species